rfam:Picea glauca, whole genome shotgun sequence.
GAGAGCACAGUACGAUUAAAGUUGUGAGUUGUGUUUGGGGGGGAGUUAUUGUCUAUCGUUGGCCUCUAUGGUAGAAUCAGUUAGGGAGGCAUGAGACACGGUGGUUUACCCUAU